GGAACCAGAAUGGGGCUGUAUUCCGCGGC
rnacentral:sRNA from 1 species